rnacentral:rRNA from 1 species
CACUGCCGAGAAAAGCCUCUAGAUAGAAAAUAGGUGCCCGUACCGCAAACCGACACAGGUAGUCAAGAUGAGAAUUCUAAGGUGAGCGAGCGAACUCUCGUUAAGGAACUCGGCAAAAUGACCCCGUAACUUCGGGAGAAGGGGUGCUCUUUAGGGUUAACGCCCAGAAGAGCCGCAGUGAAUAGGCCCAAGCGACUGUUUAUCAAAAACACAGGUCUCUGCUAAACCGUAAGGUGAUGUAUAGGGGCUGACGCCUGCCCGGUGCUGGAAGGUUAAGAGGAGUGGUUAGCUUCUGCGAAGCUACGAAUCGAAGCCCCAGUAAACGGCGGCCGUAACUAUAACGGUCCUAAGGUAGCGAAAUUCCUUGUCGGGUAAGUUCCGACCCGCACGAAAGGCGUAACGAUUUGGGCACUGUCUCAACGAGAGACUCGGUGAAAUCAUAGUACCUGUGAAGAUGCAGGUUACCCGCGACAGGACGGAAAGACCCCGUGGAGCUUUACUGUAGCCUGAUAUUGAAAUUCGGCACAGCUUGUACAGGAUAGGUAGGAGCCUUUGAAACGUGAGCGCUAGCUUACGUGGAGGCGCUGGUGGGAUACUACCCUAGCUGUGUUGGCUUUCUAACCCGCACCACUUAUCGUGGUGGGAGACAGUGUCAGGCGGGCAGUUUGACUGGGGCGGUCGCCUCCUAAAAGGUAACGGAGGCGCUCAAAGGUUCCCUCAGAAUGGUUGGAAAUCAUUCAUAGAGUGUAAAGGCAUAAGGGAGCUUGACUGCGAGACCUACAAGUCGAGCAGGGUCGAAAGACGGACUUAGUGAUCCGGU